rnacentral:rRNA from 1 species
UACGUAGGUCCCGAGCGUUGUCCGGAUUUAUUGGGCGUAAAGCGAGCGCAGGUGGUUUAUUAAGUCUGGUGUAAAAGGCAGUGGCUCAACCAUUGUAUGCAUUGGAAACUGGUAGACUUGAGUGCAGGAGAGGAGAGUGGAAUUCCAUGUGUAGCGGUGAAAUGCGUAGAUAUAUUGAGGAACACCGGUGGCGAAAGCGGCUCUCUGGCCUGUAACUGACACUGAGGCUCGAAAGCGUGGGGAGCAAACAGG